CCUACGGGGGGCAGCAGUGGGGAAUGUUGCACAAUGGGCGCAAGCCUGAUGCAGCCAUGCCGCGUGUGUGAAGAAGGCCUUCGGGUUGUAAAGCACUUUCAGCGGGGAGGAAGGCGUUAAGGUUAAUAACCUUGGCGAUUGACGUUACCCGCAGAAGAAGCACCGGCUAACUCCGUGCCAGCAGCCGCGGUAAUACGGAGGGUGCAAGCGUUAAUCGGAAUUACUGGGCGUAAAGCGCACGCAGGUGGUCUGUCAAGUCGGAUGUGAAAUCCCCGGGCUCAACCUGGGAACUGCAUUCGAAACUGGCAGGCUAGAGUCUUGUAGAGGGGGGUAGAAUUCCAGGUGUAGCGGUGAAAUGCGUAGAGAUCUGGAGGAAUACCGGUGGCGAAGGCGGCCCCCUGGACAAAGACUGACGCUCAGGUGCGAAAGCGUGGGGAGCAAACAGGAUUAGAUACCCUUGUAGUC
rnacentral:rRNA from 1 species